rnacentral:misc_RNA from 1 species
AAAAGGAACUGCACAAUUUUUGACAAUCGCAUAUGAUAUAUUUUUUACAUUAGGAGACAAAGAUGUCUCUAGUGCUUCAUUUUUUCAGCGGACAGGAACCAUCCUGAUCUUAAUGCAAGGAUGGACCAAUUUGUUUAUAGUCAUCUUAGGAAAAAUAUCUAACCCGAGCUCCCAUAGAAAGACAAACAGCUGCCAUCUGCUUUCAUGUCCUGCUCAAUUCACACCACCCUCUUGAACUCAUAAAAUUGCAGCGGGCCAUGAUCAGCCACCAUAGUCAUCCGAACCAGCUUGUAAUCAUAAAGUAAGUAUCAGCUGCCCAAUUUGAAGGCUCACUAGCCCCAACUUCAACUUCAUCUUCAUCUUAUCCUUUUUAUCACUUUGCAGAAGAAAUACGUCGCAAGGAGGACAUCCAGCUGCUGCCUCCGUUAUCACCAUCAUGUGUUGUUUCAGUGGGUAAAACAGGUUUUGUAGCAUUUGCUCUUGGUAAAACAGGAGCCAAUGAAGAAGAUGGCAUAUGAGCACUACUUAAUACAUUUCUCUCAAGAUUGGCAGAAGUUAAAUUCCUGUUUGUUGGUGACUUAAAUUGCAUACGAAUUCCAGGACUGGAAGGGUUAUUCGGCCUUAGACGAUCAGUCACCUCAGCAACAUAAGGUCCAUUGUUGCCUGUAGAAACUUGACGCUUUUCAACAUCCAUUGGAAUUGCUCGGCUACUUUCACCACCAACUUGCCGAUGCUGUGGUUUACUUGUUUGUGCCUGUUGGUACUUUAGGAUGGUCCAAUCAAAUAUGUAAUCAAACUCAUAUCCUUGACGAGUAAAAAGUUCACGAAAGAGGCGCUUUAAGAAUCCAUAAUCAGGUCGCUGA